rnacentral:rRNA from 1 species
CCCUUAGAUGUUCUGGGCCGCACGCGCGCUACACUGACUGACUCAACGAGUGUACAACCUGCUUCGACAGAAGUGGGUAAUCUUUUGAAAUUCAGUCGUGAUGGGGCUAGAUUAUUGCAACUAUUAAUCUUCAACGAGGAAUGCCUAGUAAGCGCGAAUCAUCAGUUCGCAUUGAUUACGUCCCUGCCCUUUGUACACACCGCCCGUCGCACCUACCGAUUGAAUGGUCCGGUGAAAUCUUCGGAUCUGAGAGAUGUCUGAUUAAUUUCGGACGCCUUUUGGAAAAGUUGCUUAAACCUUACCAUUUAGAGGAAGGUGAANUCGUANCA